UACUGCCUGCUGUGUUUUUCUCGGGUGGCACGUCAAGGUCUAUCCAGAUGCUGAUUACUGUGUUGGAAUCUACCAAUUCUUCUGAUAUCUAGUUUGUGCCUUUGAUUUCCUAUAUACAUGGAUAUUUGGUUGGAUUUCUGCCGGUUUGCAUGCUCUGUCCAGUGUUGGAUUAGUCUUAGCUUGGUAAUCUGUAUUCUUAUUGUAAUUUGUAGUCAUGUCUUCUUCAUGCAAGUUAUGUUUUAUCUUGUACACAAUUGUCAGUUAUACAUCUUGUAUGAUGUUAUUGGUGUAAUUGUUCAAGAAUAUGUUGAUGACCUACAUUUAGCCCUUUGUCGUUUGGUUGGGUGCCUAAAAGCUCCAACAAAAUAGCAACUGAUUUUCAUAGCUUGAUGGUUUUUUUUUUGCUUACAUUAAUAUAUUUGUGUUCGUCUGUGCAAAUUCUGCAGAGAUUCUUCAGAGCAUUCUACUUCUAUAGUUCUCCUAAUCUCAAGAUAAUAAUCGUCACUUUUGACCUAACAUUUUCAACGUGUUCAGUGCUUUCCAUUCUUGUGUUUGUUUAGUUUAACUGAUAAGUUUGUGCUUGUAUUCUUUUUGGUCACUCGAUUUAGUCAUGCACAAGAUUCCUUCUAGUUAUCACAGUAGUAUUUAAUCUUGAUUCCGCAUCAUUCAUGAGUGCCACAUUCUAUCGCUAUUUUAUGUUAGUUUGGUAUUAAGCUUCAAGUAUAUUCAAAGGUUAGUGUGAAUUAUGAUUUCAGUCUUGUAUGUUUGCAUUAGUUACAGUCCGCUUUUACUCUUGAGUUUUCCCACCUGAUUAGUGUGAAUUAUGAUUUCAUAUUGUUCAUGGGCGUAGGCUAUAUAUGUAUUUAACUUGAUUUGUUACGGUUUUACAUAGUAUUCAGAGGCAAAUAUUCUGUGAAGUGGUGUCGGUCUAGUCAGAGUUGUUCGUUUACAUUUUAUUUCCAACCUGUCAGUGAAGUAAGAAUUUAGUUCAUGUGCUUAGGUCUACCAGUGUUUUUUAGAACUUAGUCAAUAACUACCAACAGUUUUAAGUUAUGAUUUAGGUCCCCCCCCCACUUGGUUGAGAUUAAGCAUGGCACAUACUGUUAACUUUCCCCUCUUAAUUGGUUGAGAUUAUAAGCAUGACACAUACUGUUUUUUCUUUGCUUCCACUAUCCCCACUUAUUUGAUUGAUGAGAUGAUAAGCAUGAGAUUAGAACAUUAUAAUCUGUUUUGAUCUUACUUGAAAAUUUAUUUGUCCCUGAUCUGUUGUGCUCUUAAUUUUUAUCUCUUUGUCUUCUGAACCUCACUGGUUGGUUUAGAUCGCGGCUAAUCUAUUUUGCUAUGACUUCUGAUCUGAUUUAGAGUUGUGGCUAAUCUAUCGUACUCUGAUUGUGAUAUGAUUUAGGGUCGUGGUUUAUCCAUUUUUAUCCUAAUUACUGAUUUAAUUCAUGGUGGUCACUAUUAAUGGAGAUUAGUUUUGGCGAGGAUAACUAGCUGUGUUCGUUCAAUAGAGAUUAUAUAAACGUGCAGCAGUUUGUUUGCAUUCAUCUUUGUUCGUUAUGGUGGAUUGGUCUUGGUCGGUUUAGUUGAUUCCCUGGAGAUGUUUGACAUGAUCGGACUGAGAGAUUGAAGGUUGUGGUUUGGUUUGGUCUGUUCUAUUCAAGGCGAUUCAGUAUUGUUCUGUAUACAAAGUGCUUUAUCUCUUUGCGGUGAAAAACGGCGUUUUGCGGACAGUUGACUGUCAAAAUUCUGUUGUUUUUUGCUUUUGGUCCUGUUCCUGCAUGACUUAGUCAGAGUCAAUAAGAGAUGGAGGAAGUUGGAAAGAGGUUUGCUAGGCCUAUCCGGAUAUACAUGCCAGACCAUAUGAAAGGAUUUUGCUAUGUUGUGUACCAUGUUAUAAAGGUAGAGCUGGGAUAUGUUUUUCUUCAACUGUGUGGACGUGCUCAUGAUGGAGGUAAUCCUUCAGUGGCUAUAUUUAGGUGUCACCUUUUGGUUAGUUUCAUUUCAAGAUCCCUAAGAAUAUCGGAUGUGCUUGUGUUGUUUGCGUUUUAGAUAUAACUUUCUUGGGAAGUACCUUGAAAGAACAUGGAAGUUUGCUUUUGAAGUAAUCUGUUUGAAGGUUCAAGUACUGUGAAGAAAGCUGAUGUGAACUACUUUACUGCCUGCUGUGUUUUUCUUGGGUGGCACGUCAAGUUCUAUCCAGAUGCUGAUUACUGUGUUACCUACCAAUCCUUCUGAUAUCUAGUUUGUGCCUUUGAUUUCCUACAUUAGACAUUCGGUUGGGUUUCUGCCAGCUUACAUGCUCCGUCAAGUGUUGGAUUAGUCUUAGCUUAGUAAUUAGUAUUCUUAUUGUAAUUUGUGGUCAUGUUUUGUUUGUGCAAGUUAUGUUUUAUCUUGUACACAAUUGUCAAUUAUGCAUCUUGUAUGAUGUUGUUGGUGUAAUUGUUCAAUGAUAUGAUGACCUACAUUUGCUGCAACAAAAUAGCAACUAAAUCUCAUAGCUUGAUGUCUUUUUUUCCUUACAUCAAUGUAUUUGUGUUCAUCGAUGCAAGUUCACCAAAGAUUGUUCAGAGCAUCCCACUUAUAUAGUUCUCCUAUAAUCUCAAGAUAAUAAUGAUCACUUUUGACCUAACAUUUUGAACUUGUUCAGUGGUUUCCAUUCCUGUGUUCAAUCAGUUUAAGUGGUAAAGUAUGGUGCUUGUAUUCUUUUUGGGUGCUCUCUUUAGUCAUGCACAUGAUUUCUUGUAAUAAUCACAUUAGUUGCUUGUAUUUAAUCUUGAUUCCGCGUCAUUCACUAGUGCCAUUCUAUCACUGUUUUAUGUAGUUUGGCAUUAAGCUUCAAGUAUAUUCAAAGGUUAGUUUGAGUUAUGAUUUCAGUCUUCUAUGUUUGCAUUAUUUACAUCUGCUUUUACUCUUGGAGUUUCCCUACCUGGUUAGUGUGAUUUAUGAUUUCAUAUUGUUCAUGAGUGUAGGCUAUAUAUGUAUUUUACUUGAUUUGUAAUGAUUUUACAUAGUAUUCAGAGGCAAAUAUUCUAUGAUAAGUGGUGUCGGCUGUCGGCCUAGUCGGAUUUCUUUGUUUACAAUUUAUUUCCAACAUGUCAGUGAAUUAAGAUUUUACUUCAUGUGCUUAGGUCUACCAAUGUUUUUAGAACUUAGUUAAUAACUAUCAAUAGUUAAGUUAAGAUUUAGCUACUGUUAACUUUCCCCUCUUAAUUGGUGAGAUCAUAAGCAUGCACAUACUGUUUUUCUUUAGUUUCACCUUCCCCACUUAUUUGGUUGAUGAGAUGAUAAGCAUGGCAUGUACUAUAAUUUCCAGGCCUCUUUCUUUCAAAAUGAGGACAUUAUAUUUGAUUAUUUGUUUUGAGCUUGCAUGAAAAUUUAUUUGCCCCUGAUCCGUUCUGCUGUCAUUUUUAUCUCUUCGAUAGAGAAGGUCAUAAUUAGAAACGUGAAAAAGGCCUGUAGUUUUUACAUAAGUAUAUGACUUGAUGUUAUUCUUGUGUGCUUGGAUGCGGGCUUAGAUAGAGAAGGUCACAAUUGGAGUAUUUCUCAUCAAUUCAUUAGCUAAUUGAGUCAUAUCCUCUAACCACUCUUAAUUUUCUUGGAUACAGUCUGCAUAGUCCUAGUUUUGACUUAUCUUCUCUAAUAACGUCAAUAGUGUAUGUGUUGUUUCAGUGUUCCAAUUCCUACAAUCAUUUAUUUUUGCUUGGCAUAGAACCAUGAUCCUAUCUGAUGAAAUUAUUUAUGCAACAGUGCUGCUUCUGGCCACUGUUUGCACCAAAUUUUUUAUAUCUCAAGGUAAGUUAGUAUGUACUACACUGAUAUUGUUUAGUUACAAGUCACCUAGAAAUACAUUGUAGGGAUGUGAAAACUUCUACAUUAGUUUUAAUUCUCAACCGUGGUGUUCAUAUAUAGGUUGGUAGCUUCAGAUGUGUUCUUAGUUUCCUAUAAACUCGUUCUUCUAUUUGGAACUUUACACUAUCCUUGUGCACAUGUAUGGCUAAAAAUUUCCCUAUGAAUUUUCUUGCCUUCCUUUUUCUGCUUGGAAAUUUUAUUACUAGAUUUGUUAACAAAUGUUUGGUCAGUCUUGGUAUGCCCCUACUUGUUCUGUUUUGGUCUGAGUUUUAGUUUUGUUCCCAAUCCAUGUUGCACCGCUUUAAGAUACACCAGUAUCGAUGCGACGUGUCUAUAUAUACUUAAUGAACUN
rnacentral:lncRNA from 1 species